AUCUAGCUGAGGAGUCCCAAAUAGGACGAAACGCGCGUCCUGGAU
rnacentral:hammerhead_ribozyme from 1 species